AUUGAACGCUGGCGGCAGGCCUAACACAUGCAAGUCGAACGAGUGGCGGACGGGUGAGUAAUGUCUGGGAAACUGCCCGAUGGAGGGGGUUAACUACUGGAAACGGUAGCUAAUACCGCAUACCAUCGGAUGUGCCCAGAUGGGCUUAGCUAGUAGGUGGGGUAACGGCUAACCUAGGCGACGAUCCCUAGCUGGACUGAGAGGAUGACCAGCCACACUGGAGCUGAGACACGGUCCAGACUCCUACGGGAGGCAGCAGUGGGGAAUAUUGAACAAUGGGCGAAAGCCUGAUGCAGCCAUGCCGCGUGUAUAAAGAAGGCCUUCGGGUUGUAAAGUACUUUCAGCGGGGAGGCGUUACCAGCAGAAGAAGCACCGGCUAACUCCGUGCCAGCAGCCGCGGUAAUAC
rnacentral:rRNA from 1 species